AGCGCAGCUCAGCGCGGCGCUGCGCGGUAUAAAAAGCCGCCCGCGGCAGCUUCUGGCAGCUUCUGCCAGCAUCAGCACAGCCACACCGUCAGACAUGAACAGCUUCGUCGUGCGUAUGGUGGCGGCGGCGGCGGCGCUGCUGCUGGUGCUGGCUUCGCUGGCGUCUGCGGCGCCUGCGGCCGUGGCUGCGGGGGCGGCGGGGGCGCCGCAGCGCGAGUCGCUGCAGCCGGCCGAGACGCUGUACUACUCGGCGUUCGGCAGCGUCGUGCCCGGCAUCUACCCGGGCGCCGUCUCCUACCUGGGCUGAGCCCUCGUCACCACUCGCCUGCCACCCACACCGCCACAGCCACUCCGCCCGGCGCCGUCCCCGGACUCUCCUAGCUCCAAGCAGCCGUGUCACUCUAAAUAGGCAAUAAAGCAGCACUUUCAAAAAUA